rnacentral:tRNA from 1 species
UAAAUAAGUAAGCUAAAUAAGCUAUUAGGUUCAUACCCUAAAAAUAGAAUUAUACUCUCUUAUUUAA